rnacentral:sRNA from 7 species
UGUAUCUGAAGCCUGAAGAGGAUGAGAACCUCCGGGGGCAAGAGGUUCGACCCGAGCGAAGCGAGAGAACGUUGCGUCAGCAACGGCCCGCAGGGCGAGCCACGCAGUGGCGAGUCAUCCUCUAUCACCGGCAG